AAAAAAAUUCAUAGAAAGUUUAAUACUACUGUAUAUAAUUUGACAAAAUAUAUCGAAAGUAAUGCCAAAAAAAUGAAAAAUUCUCAACUGGUAGGGCACAAGGUCUUAAAGUCGUUAUCCGCUCAAUAAGCAGAGAGAUUGGCUCCCACAAUUUUUCUCAUUUUCGUAUGCAUUCAUUAAUCUAUACGUACAGUAGGAUAAGUGUCAAACUCUACAUAUAUAAACUUUUAGGACCAUCAUUCAUUCCAACUCCAGUAGCUAAUUAUUUCACUGAAUCUUCUUUACCAGCUUCUAAAAUAAACUGAAAAUAUAGUGAGGUUUGGUUUUUCAACGAAAGUGGGAAAAUGAGUAUCAGUUUUAGGGAUAAAUCUUGGAUUUUUCUGGCAAUUUUGUGUUUUUCACUGUUGAUUUGCUCAACCAAAGCAUUGGUAUCUUAUGAUCAUAAAGCUUUAAUCAUCAAUGGGCAGAGAAGGAUCCUUCUCUCUGGUUCUAUUCACUACCCAAGAAGCACUCCUGAGAUGUGGCCUGAUCUUAUAAAGAAGGCCAAAGAAGGUGGUUUAGAUGUCAUACAAACUUAUGUUUUCUGGAAUGGACAUGAACCUACCCCUGGAGAAGUAUGAUCUGGUUAAAUUUAUCAAGCUGGUGCACAAGCUGGUCUCUAUGUUAGUUUAAGAACUGGUCCAUAUGUUUGUGCAGAGUGGAAUUUCGGGGGGUUUCCUGUUUGGCUCAAAUAUGUCCCGGGUAUAGUUUUCAGAAUCGAUAAUGGACCUUUUAAGUUCGCAAUGCAAAAAUUUACUAAGAAGACUGUGGAUAUGAUGAAAGAAGAAAAGUUGUUUGAGACUCAAGGAGGACCCAUUAUUCUCUCACAGAUAGAGAAUGAGUAUGGACCAAUGGAAUGGGAGCUAGGAUCAGCAGGAAAGGCGUACAAAAAGUGGACAGCUGCAAUGGCAUUGGCCGGUUGUCCACAGGUGUCCCAUGGGUUAUGUCCAAGCAAGAAGAUGCUCCUUUCCCUAUUAAAGUUUCCAUGGCUCUCUCGAGGACGGAGGUCUCAACCUUCUCUGCCUUUCAUCCGGAUCUGACCAUUCUGUCAACAUCUCGUUCUCCCCUCUGGUUUGUUCGACUUCUGUGGCGGCCAAUCCCUCCACCGAAACCAUCGGAUCUACUAAUGUGGUCAUCGCUCUCUCGUUUCCUCUCCUGGCCUUUGCUUCCUCCUCCGCUGGUGAAUCCCUGUGGUCUACUCUUAUGGUUAGAUCCCGGUUCUCCUUCCGGACAUGGUGCAAGCUCUGGUGUUUGGCGUCCAAUGGUCCUUCUAGAUUUCAACUUGGUGUCCUUCGCGCCACACUUUACUGCUCUAUGCACAAGAAUCAUCUUCUUGCUUCGCGUUUGGUCCAACUCCCGAGUUUCAUGGCUAGAGCUAGCUGCAAUGUGCUUCCAGUCUAUCGCAACUCUUGGACUCUUGGUAACGGUGUUCUGUAGCAGCUUAUUUUCUAUUGUCCAAUAGUUUGGUUUGGAUCUCACUUCGAUUUCUGAUUCUCGAGGAAGGUUUCUAUCGAAUUUCGUGAUUCAUGUGUCAAGCCAUUACCUCAUUGAUAGCUGCGGCGACACCAUCUUCCGCGACACCAACUUCAUCUUUGGACGCUUGUUUUCUGCAGUAUGCAGACUGUUACUCCACAGGCGCGUAGUCUGGCUUCCUCUACGAACUUUUACCAUCAUCACCACCUCCCCUAUCUUGGUUUUCCAGGUUCGCUUUUGCUCUUCACUCUCCAUUUCCUCUUGUGUGAAAUGGUAUGAAAGGCUUGUUGAGUGGAUAAUACUGGAUUGGUUGGGUAUGGUGCUAGUUUAUGAUGACCCAACAGACUUAAUUACCUUUGUUUCAUCGGGUGUGCCUAUGCGUUUUACUAGAUUUCAUAUCGCCUUGGUGCGAUCCUUUACUGCACUAUCCAUGAUCUUUAAUGUUUUCUAUCCGAAUCUUGGUAAUGUGUUUUUGGUUCUUCUUUCUUCAUGGCCAUAUAAAAGAAAACUCAUGUUUUCCCUGGUGAAAAUGGUGAUGGAAUACCCUGUUGCCUCCUUUAUGGAGCAGUCUCUCUUCCCAAUUGUCCCUCCUAUCGGGAGUGGUUUGGAUUUUCAAGCAUCGUCGGUAUUGCAAGGAUCUUCCUCCCGGCUGAUGGUCUUCUCUGCCUUUGUUGCAGUGUUUGUAGCCUUUCAGGUUACAUUGGAUGUAACUGUUCAAGAAGAUUACAAGAUCGUUGUUCGAUUGAUUGUUGUGUUUUGGUAUGAUUUAUAUCCAUCUAUCUCUCGUUUUAUCAAUCCUUUGUCUUGUUCGGCUUCUUUUGGCCGCUUUGUAUCCACUCUUAGUGGAGUUGAACUCUGUUAAAUUACUGAAAGUUUAGUUUGUCCAAAAAAAAAAA